GAGAGUAUGACUUUUGUAACCUUAGCACGCUAUUACUUUAUAAGAAGGAAAAUUGUGUCACAAGUUUCCAUUUUUCGUACCCAUUAUGUUACAUCCCCUUUUCUUUGAGUACUUAUACCUAUAUAUAUAAAGUUUAAUAUUUUUCUUUGAAUCUCAUCUUUACAUACUCGUGACUCUUUCAAGAGAUUAUUUUGAAUUUCGCAAUUAAUGCGAUUGAUACCAAUUAGAUCUUGAAUGGAUAUUUUGUCCCUUUUGAUAUCUCCAUUGAGUUUAGAUUUGCAUUCAUAUGGAAAACAUCCAAAUAGGAUAAGUUUAAGGGUUAGAUUAGAAAAAUUUUGACUAAAUCUCACAACUAAUUUAUGUUAGAUUGAAAGGGUGCCUUAGAUUUGAAUCGAUUGAACAUUUGUCUUCCCUUUCUUCAACUGUGACUCCCGAACUCAUUUUCUCUCAUUUUCAACAAUCUAAAAGUGUCAAAAACGGUUUCAUUUUAUUUUAUUUUUAUUUUUUUAAUUUAAUUUUUUCAAAAUAUUUUUGAGUGACUUGGUACACAUAAAAUUGACACCAAGUGGCGACUCCUUUUUUAAACUCUUUUUAGACUAAAUUUUAGGUCCAAAUUGUCGCAUUUGUAGACUCAUUUUAGGUCCCCUUUUUUGCUUAUUUGAUAAAAUGAAAAACACAUUUUUUUCAUUAGAUAUUUUAUUUCAAAAAUUGGGCACGAUAGGUUUUAUCCCUUGUGUCUUCCUAAAGUAAAUUGAUGAAAGCAGUGGAUUCUAAAAGCAGUGUCCAUUAGUACCUUCCCUCUUGGCAUAAAUAGAGAUCAUCCGAAGCCAGAAGUCGAACCUCUGUCAAAUUUGUCAACUAAAUAGGUACGGGUCAAGACCUUGAUGGUAAAACAUUUGAUGUUGUGCAUUUAAUUAUAAAACAAUGUUGAUAGUGAAGUUUAUUAAUUAAUAGUAUUUAGUAAUUAUUUUAUGCAUACUAUUAAUUAGUAUUAAUUAAUAGUUAUCUAUAGUAAUAGUAAAGUAAAUAAUAAUAAUAAAUGGUAAAUUGUAAUAGUAAAUUGCAAUAGAAAAUAAUAAAUAGUAAUAGUAACAGUAAUAGCAAUAGUAAAUAGUAAUAGUAAUGGCGAAUUUCUUGAAAUUUUGUACUAAAUUUAGGGUCGCCGCAUUAAAUAUUCAUUUAAUUUUCAAAAUUUUUCGCCGCUACUGCUAGAACUAAAAAAGGAAAUGUGUAAAAAAAAAAAGGAUUUGCUACCUGUCAUAUAGCAUGUGAUUAAGCAAUAUUAAGAAAAAAUUCUAAUCGCUGCAUCCCUUUUGGAAGCAGUGACCUUUUUUAAAAAAAAA
rnacentral:lncRNA from 1 species